GGGACACGUGAAACCCUGUGGGAAGCAGGAGGGACCACCCUCCAAGGCUAAAUACUACCUAGUGACCGAUAGCGUAUAGUACCGUGAGGGAAAGGUGAAAAGAACCCCGGGAGGGGAGUGAAAUAGAACCUGAAACCCUGCACUUACAAGCUGUGGAAGCACAUUUCUUGUGUGACCGCGUACUUUUUGUAGAACGGGCCAACGAGUUACGUUAAGUAGCAAGGUUAAGCACUUAAGGUGCGGAGCCGUAGCGAAAGCGAGUUUUAACUGAGCGUUCAGUUACUUGACGUAGACCCGAAACCGGGCGACCUACCCAUGAGCAGGAUGAAGCGAAAGUAAAAUUUCGUGGAGGUCCGAACCCACGAGCGUUGAAAAGCUCGGGGAUGACUUGUGGGUAGCGGUGAAAUUCCAAUCGAGCCCGGAGAUAGCUGGUUCUCCCCGAAAUAGCUUUAGGGCUAGCCUCAAGGUGAGAGAUACGGAGGUAGAGCACUGAAUGUCCUAGGGGGUAUUGCACCUACCGAAGACUAUCAAACUCCGAAUGCCGUCAUCUUAUACUUGGGAGUCAGACUGUGGGUGAUAAGAUUCAUAGUCGAAAGGGCAACAGCCCAGAUCGUCAGCUAAGGUCCCUAAAUGUAAGUUAAGUGGUAAAGGAUGUGGGAUUGCACAGACAACCAGGAUGUUGGCUUAGAAGCAGCCACUCAUUCAAAGAGUGCGUAAUAGCUCACUGGUCGAGUGAUCCUGCGCCGAAGAUUUCCGGGGCUAAAACUUACUACCGAAGCUACGGCAUCAGUAAUGAUGGGUAGGGGAGCUUCCCAUACGGGUUGAAGCAUGACCGUAAGGACAUGUGGACAGUAUGGGAGUGAGAAUGUUGGCAUGAGUAGCGAGAUGUGGGUGAGAAUCCCACAGGCCGUAAACCCAAGGUUUCCAGGGGAAGGUUCGUCCGCCCUGGGUUAGUCGGGACCUAAGCUGAGGCCGAAAGGCGUAGGUGAUGGACAACAGGUUGAUAUUCCUGUACUACCGAUAACCGUUUGAGAGAAGGGAUGACACAGUAGGAUAAGCUAAGCACACUGUUGGUUAUGUGUGCCCAAGCAUUGAGGCAGUCAAAGUAGGCAAAUCCGCUUUGAUAAUGCUGGGAUGUGAUGGGGAGCGAAAUUUAGUAGCGAAGUAGCUGAUUUCACACUGUCAAGAAAAGUCUCUAUCGAGGUUAAAGGUACCCGUACCGCAAACCGACACAGGUGGGUGAGGAGAGUAUCCUAAGGCCAGCGAGAGAACUGUUGUUAAGGAACUCGGCAAAAUGACCCCGUAACUUAGGGAUAAGGGGUGCCACCAUCAGGUGGCCGCAGAGAAUAGGCCCAAGCGACUGUUUACCAAAAACAUAGGUUUCUGCUAAGUCGCAAGACGAUGUAUAGGAGCUGACGCCUGCCCGGUGCUGGAAGGUUAAGGGGAUCUGUUAGAGCAAUCGAAGCAGUGAACUUAAGCCCCAGUAAACGGCGGCCGUAACUAUAACGGUCCUAAGGUAGCGAAAUUCCUUGUCGGGUAAGUUCCGACCCGCACGAAAGGCGUAACGAUUUGGGCACUGUCUCAACAACAGACUCGGUGAAAUUGUAAUUCCGGUGAAGAUGCCGGAUACCUGCGACAGGACGGAAAGACCCCAUGGAGCUUUACUGUAGCUUGACAUUGGGUCUUGGUACUACAUGUACAGGAUAGGUGGGAGGCUUUGAAACCAGGACGCCAGUUUUGGCGGAGCCAUCCUUGGGAUACCACCCUUGUAGUACUGGGACUCUAACCAUAGGCCAUGAAUCUGGUCUUGGGACACUGUCAGGUGGGCAGUUUGACUGGGGCGGUCGCCUCCCAAAAGGUAACGGAGGCGCUCAAAGGUUCUCUCAGUACGGUCGGAAAUCGUACGUAGAGUGUAAAGGCAAAAGAGAGCUUGAUUGCAAGACAUACAGGUCGAGCAAGGAUGAAAAUCGGACUUAGUGAUCCGGUGGUUCUGCGUGGAAGGGCCAUCGCUCAACGGAUAAAAGCUACCCUGGGGAUAACAGGCUUAUCUCCCCCAAGAGUCCACAUCGACGGGGAGGUUUGGCACCUCGAUGUCGGCUCAUCACAUCCUGGGGCUGUAGUAGGUCCCAAGGGUUGGGCUGUUCGCCCAUUAAAGUGGUACGCGAGCUGGGUUCAGAACGUCGUGAGACAGUUCGGUCCCUAUCCGUCGCAGGCGUAGGAAAUUUGAGAAGACCUGUCCUUAGUACGAGAGGACC
rnacentral:rRNA from 1 species